rnacentral:lncRNA from 1 species
AAUGUUGCUAUGGCUCUAAAUAGGCUGGCAGUACAUUGAAAACAGAUGUUUUUGGGUUGGAAGUGGGGGCUGUUAAUUACUAUUCAUAAGCAUAUGAUACGUUUAUGGAAUACUUUUCUAACAUUGCACAUGAUACUGUAAAUCAGGAUUCCUGAACAAAAACAUUGGAUAGAUAAAUGGAUGCAUUUUUAUAAGAUGACAUUUUUCAAAGAUAGUAUCAAAAUUAAAAAAAAAAACAGAAUAAAUAUCCACAUAUAUUUGAAUGGAGGCAAAGUCUAAUUUUAAUGAACACAUUCAGAUGAUGAUCUUAAAUCUGGAAUAGAUAUAAUAAAAAGAUAACAGGAUAUUUUGCCAUGGGGGUCCUUGCUUGGUCUUUCAGGAGGUGUGACACAAAUCCUUCAGGAUAUUUUAACUGAAACUGCAAUCUAUAGAAGUAGAAAGUCCAGAUGUCUAAGGACACUGUAAUGACAAUGAGGCCCAGGAAAAUAGCCAGCUUUCUUCACAGAACUGGGUUUCUGUGGCACUGGGUACAUGACAAGAACAAUGUCUGUAAGAGACUUCCCUGGGUGUGACCUGGUGAGCAGGAAAAGAAUGGCCUCAGAGGGCAGAGGAAACAACACAUGGACAUGGAGCAACUGUAUUCAGGACAAAGUAAGCUUGGUGACCACUUCAUCAUCAUCAUCAUCAUCAUCAUCAUCAUCAUCAUCUGCAUUUAUCAUCAUCACUUCCAUGAGUUGAAAAUUAGGCUCUGUGCUAACAAUUGAAACCUGUUAUUCCAUUUAAUCCUUGCAAAUGAAUUAUGCGGCUGUUAUGGCCUCUGGUUAUCUAAGUGAAGAAAAUGAGACUCAUCCAGUUUAAAUAACUUGCCUGGUUUCAAUUAACCAGUACAUAAGCUGUAUGCCCAGGACUUAGAGUCUAGGACAAGCAGAUCCAGAUUCUGACAGGACAGAGAACAACUCAGAGCCAUUUGUGGGUUUGAAUCUCCUUUACUCACAGUGGCAGUGAGAAACGCACAAGGAACAGCCACUUGCCUCCUGAUAGCAGUGUGGCCACAGGAGAUGUCCUCCUUUGUGUUUACGGUGGCGGUUUGCCACACAUACAGACAUGUACACACAUCCACACAUAGGCAGCUGCAUACACCCACACAUCCAUCCCCAGGCAGCCGCACCUAGCUGUGCUCCCCAGUUGCUCAUGUGAGUUUAUAAACAAAGGUGGCUUAAGCCCAAACUGUUACAUACCAGUCUUGUGGGCAGUGAGUCCAGCAGGUAGACCUGUCAGUUGCCAAGGAGAAACAGAGAUAUGGGAACACAGAGAUAAGGGGGCAGGGGCAAAAAGGUGUGAGAAUUUAAUAUCUCCACCUUCCCAGAUUCAUCAUCUCAAUAGCAACGACAGCAUUUGAUUGACUCCAAAAGUCCAUGCUCUUAGUCUCUCUACUAUAGUGUUUUACUUUUCCCUUCUCUGAGCUUCAGUUCACUCAGCUUGGUGAACGAGGAACAGCUUCUCUCUACUGCUAAGUCUGGUUCUUAAGUUUCUUCCAGCUUCCCCGCCACUACCCUACAACAGCCCUGAGGAUAUCUCAGAUCCUGGAAAUACUUCCUGCCCUCCAGUGCACCCCCUCAAUUUUCAUUUUUUUACAAAGAUUAUUUUUAUUCCCUUGAUAGUCUUUCUAGUGUCCACUUAGGCCUUAUUAUAAUUUUUAGGACUGCCUCUCACCUCCUAGGGGCUACAGUUAAAUUAU